UACAGGGGGUGCAAACGUUGCUCGGAAUCAUUGGGCGUAAAGCGCACGUAGGCGGUUUGUUAUGUCGGAUGUGAAAGCCCUUGGCUCAACUGAGGAAGUGCAUCCGAAACUGGCAAGCUAGAGUACUAAAGAGGGUCGCGGAAUUCCCGGUGUAGAGGUGAAAUUCGUAGAUAUCGGGAGGAACACCGGUGGCGAAGGCGGCGACCUGGGUAGAUACUGACGCUGAGGUGCGAAAGCGUGGGGAGCAAACGGG
rnacentral:rRNA from 1 species